AGUGAACGCUGGCGGCAGGCCUAAUACAUGCAAGUCGAACGGCAGCACGGCAGAGCUUGCUCUGUGGGUGGCGAGUGGCGGACGGGUGAGGAAUACAUGGGAAUCUGCCCAGUCGUGGGGGAUAACGUAGGGAAACUUACGCUAAUACCGCAUGCGCCCUUCGGGGGAAAGCCGGGGACCUUCGGGCCUGGCGCGAUUGGAUGAGCCCAUGUCGGAUUAGCUAGUUGGCGGGGUAAUGGCCCACCAAGGCGACGAUCCGUAGCUGGUCUGAGAGGAUGAUCAGCCACACUGGAACUGAGACACGGUCCAGACUCCUACGGGAGGCAGCAGUAGGGAAUAUUGGACAAUGGGCGCAAGCCUGAUCCAGCCAUGCCGCGUGAGUGAAGAAGGCCCUCGGGUUGUAAAGCUCUUUUGUCCGGAAAGAAAAGCGCCGGGUUAAUACCCUGGUGUCCUGACGGUACCGGAAGAAUAAGCACCGGCUAACUUCGUGCCAGCAGCCG
rnacentral:rRNA from 1 species